rnacentral:rRNA from 1 species
GAUGAACGCUGGCGGCGUGCCUAAUACAUGCAAGUCGAGCGAACAGACGAGGAGCUUGCUCCUCUGACGUUAGCGGCAGACGGGUGAGUCACACGUGGAUAACCUACCUAUAAGACUGGGAUAACUUCGGGAAACCGGAGCUAAUACCGGAUGAUAUAUUGAACCGCAUGGUUCAAUAGUAAAAGACGGUUUUGGUGUCACUUAUAGCUGGAUACGCGCCGCAUUAGCUAGUUGGUAAGGUAACGGCUUACCAAGGCUACGAUGCGUAGCCGACGUGAUAGGGUGAUCGCCGACCCUGGAACUGAGACACGGUCCAUACGCCUACGGGAGGCACCAGUAUGGAACCGUACGCAAUGGGGGAAAGCCUGACGGAGCAACGCCGCGCGAGUUAUGAAGGUCUUCGGUGCGGAAAACCGUGUUAUUAGUGGUGAACAAAUGUGUAAGUAACCAUGCAGUGCGUGACGGUACCUAAUCAGAAAGCCACGGCUAACUACGUG